UGUUUUUUUUGUUUUGGAUGUAUGUUCAUUAAUUAACUCCAUUAUUGAGCAGCUUUCAUCAUCAUUCUGUUCACCGUUAGGAUUCGUCAAUGGCGGUCGUUCUUGUUCAGUGUGGUCCUGUAGUGUCAGAUUGUGCUUUAGCUUAUGUGCCAAGUUGUGUUCCUUAUCUCUCUGGUUCCACAGUGGCGUAACACAUAUGCUUAAUCUUGUCCAUCAUGGUUUUGAUGCAUUUGCGUGGGUAAGGAAAUGAAACUGAUUGCAGAGGAGCAAGCUUGCGACUGAUGGCCAAAGAAUUUUAAGGACAGAUGAGUUCUUUCUUCUUUACUCUGUUACCUUUUCUUAAAUCUAAUUGAUUUUGAAAAUUUUGAUGAGGAAUUAAUAUUGGGGAGAUUAUAUUCGGUGUUUCCUUGUUUCUCUGUUUCUUCGAAGUAUGGGGCCAUGACUGAUGAGUGGUUUUCAUUUUGACCAGAUUGUAAGUAGGUAAUGAAAAUGGGCAAAGCAGUGGUAGCUAAUUUGGGUUCAAAUCAAAGCAAAUAAUUACAAAAACAGAACAGUGGGAGCCUGGGAGAUAAUAAGGAACCAUGACCAUUCCAUGCAUGUAUGUAUUUGGGACGUUUCAUUGAUCUCAAUCUGAUUCCCAUCCACGUGGACUUGAAGCUCAACUUAACCAUAGAAAGGGUCUACCCAUGGCCCAUGACAGCUGGAGUGUAAAGGUCCUGCACCCCAUAAUAAUAAAAUCAAACAUUAUAAAUAAAUAAAUAAAAGUAAGAAGGAAGAAGAACUAAAGUAUGAAUUUUAAAAUUAAAAGUAAAAGGAACUCCACUCGGGUAGCAUUCAAGAUUUCCUUGGACGUCUGAGAUGGUUUAAGGUUGUCCUACUACCCCACCAUGUGCCAUAUUUUUGUCCCCAUUAGAGCUUUUUUAUUUUGACAGGCCGCUCCAGAAGAGCAUCAGAAUCUAGUGCAAUGUCAUAUAUUUAUUAUUUUAUAUAAUUAGAUAUAUAAAUAAUUUAUUAUUAUAUAAUUAUGUAUUAUUUAUUUUUAAUUUAAAAUUAUUUAAUUAUAUAAUGAUAUAUUUAAUUAUAAAUUCAAAAAUAUAUAAACAUAAAUUUAUUUAAAAUUAAAAUAGUGGAUGGAUUGUACACGGGCUGCGGAAGACACUUUGAAGAGGACUCCUGAAACUGCCACCAACUGGUUUAGAGCGUUCAUUAAACCAAGAAUCAUGACGCAGAGGUCCAAAGGAAUUAACGAGAAAAUUAAAGUAAAUCAUCAAAUAGUUCAAGAGCUGUGGAGUUGGGGGGGUGAGUGGGUACUUGGAAUUUUGCUUUCAUAAAAGGGAGAUAUUGUAAAUUUCUUAACCACUCAAAUCUGGCGGUGAGUUGAUUGAUUACAUAAGACUAAAUAAUGUGAUGAUUUUAGAUUAUUUUUCUAUUAUCAUUAUUAUUAUUAUACUGAUAAGAUUAGGUUGCGAGAAUACGCACAAAAUGAAUGAGAUUUUUCUAUUAUUAUUAUUAUU